AUGAACGCUGGCGGCGUGCCUAAUACAUGCAAGUCGAGCGAACAGACGAGGAGCUUGCUCCUUUGACGUUAGCGGCGGACGGGUGAGUAACACGUGGAUAACCUACCUAUAAGACUGGGAUAACUUCGGGAAACCGGAGCUAAUACCGGAUAACAUGUUGAACCGCAUGGUUCAACAGUGAAAGACGGUCUUGCUGUCACUUAUAGAUGGAUCCGCGCCGCAUUAGCUAGUUGGUAAGGUAACGGCUUACCAAGGCAACGAUGCGUAGCCGACCUGAGAGGGUGAUCGGCCACGCUGGAACUGAGACACGGUCCAGACUCCUACGGGAGGCAGCAGUAGGGAAUCUUCCGCAAUGGGCGAAAGCCUGACGGAGCAACGCCGCGUGAGUGAAGAAGGUCUUCGGAUCGUAAAACUCUGUUAUUAGGGAAGAACAAAUGUGUAAGUAACUAUGCACGUCUUGACGGUACCUAAUCAGAAAGCCACGGCUAACUACGUG
rnacentral:rRNA from 1 species